GAUCAGUGGCGAACGGGUGAGUAACACGUGAGCAACCUGCCCCUGACUCUGGGAUAAGCGCUGGAAACGGCGUCUAAUACUGGAUACGAGUAGCGACCGCAUGGUCAGCUACUGGAAAGAUUUAUUGGUUGGGGAUGGGCUCGCGGCCUAUCAGCUUGUUGGUGAGGUAAUGGCUCACCAAGGCGUCGACGGGUAGCCGGCCUGAGAGGGUGACCGGCCACACUGGGACUGAGACACGGCCCAGACUCCUACGGGAGGCAGCAGUGGGGAAUAUUGCACAAUGGGCGCAAGCCUGAUGCAGCAACGCCGCGUGAGGGAUGACGGCCUUCGGGUUGUAAACCUCUUUUAGCAGGGAAGAAGCGAAAGUGACGGUACCUGCAGAAAAAGCGCCGGCUAACUACGUGCCAGCAGCCGCGGUAAUACGUAGGGCGCAAGCGUUAUCCGGAAUUAUUGGGCGUAAAGAGCUCGUAGGCGGUUUGUCGCGUCUGCUGUGAAAUCCGGAGGCUCAACCUCCGGCCUGCAGUGGGUACGGGCAGACUAGAGUGCGGUAGGGGAGAUUGGAAUUCCUGGUGUAGCGGUGGAAUGCGCAGAUAUCAGGAGGAACACCGAUGGCGAAGGCAGAUCUCUGGGCCGUAACUGACGCUGAGGAGCGAAAGGGUGGGGAGCAAACAGGCUUAGAUACCCUGGUAGUCCACCCCGUAAACGUUGGGAACUAGUUGUGGGGUCCAUUCCACGGAUUCCGUGACGCAGCUAACGCAUUAAGUUCCCCGCCUGGGGAGUACGGCCGCAAGGCUAAACUCAAAGGAAUUGACGGGGACCCGCACAAGCGGCGGAGCAUGCGGAUUAAUUCGAUGCAACGCGAAGAACCUUACCAAGGCUUGACAUAUACGAGAACGGGCCAGAAAUGGUCAACUCUUUGGACACUCGUAAACAGGUGGUGCAUGGUUGUCGUCAGCUCGUGUCGUGAGAUGUUGGGUUAAGUCCCGCAACGAGCGCAACCCUCGUUCUAUGUUGCCAGCACGUAAUGGUGGGAACUCAUGGGAUACUGCCGGGGUCAACUCGGAGGAAGGUGGGGAUGACGUCAAAUCAUCAUGCCCCUUAUGUCUUGGGCUUCACGCAUGCUACAAUGGCCGGUACAAAGGGCUGCAAUACCGCGAGGUGGAGCGAAUCCCAAAAAGCCGGUCCCAGUUCGGAUUGAGGUCUGCAACUCGACCUCAUGAAGUCGGAGUCGCUAGUAAUCGCAGAUCAGCAACGCUGCGGUGAAUACGUUCCCGGGUCUUGUACACACCGCCCGUCAAGUCAUGAAAGUCGGUAACA
rnacentral:rRNA from 1 species